AGUAGCUAGCUACAGAUAACUAUCACUCAGGUCAAAACCAGAGAAGAAGUAGUCUCUGUCUUGCAGACCUCUGCGGUGCUGGAGUGACCUCUGUUGCUACUAGCAAACAAAUUGUAAAGCUAUGGCGCCUCCCGUUGCAGUCUCUCCUUUGAUCAAGACAGCUAGGUACUCUGCUUUGAUUGCUGGUAUCUUAUACGGCAAAAAAAGAUAUGAUUACCUGAAGCCCAUUGGAGCUGAAGAAAGGAGGAUUGAGGAGGAGGAGAAAAAGGUCCGUGAGGAGCAGGAGCGUAUCGCUAAGCAGCUUGCAGAGGCAAAUGAAGACACCAUUCUGAAGUAAACCUCAAGUGGAAUUUUCUACCCCUUUCUUUUUCUGGAGGAACAAUGGCAAAGCCAGUCAGACACAGCUUAUCUGCAGAAGUGCAGCAAACUAAGAUUUGGGUAAACUUUUACAGUAAUUAUUUCAUUAAGAUGAUCAAUACUAAAGCUCUUUAAUACACAAUAAUUUAAAUCUAAUUGCAGCUACUCAAAAGAAAGGUUUAUGUUUAGGAUAAAUGAAUUCCUGGGUUGUUUUUUCUGUCUGUUAAGCAUCCUGUGCCAUGAACUUGUAUUUGCUGCUCCUUCCAAAUUUUGGCACAUCAGGUUUGAAACUGCCGUUCAUGUUUGUUUGUGUUCACGCUAUACAUUAAAUGAAGUAUUUAAACUAA